GAUGGCGUUCGCAAAAGUAAAAUGCUGGGAGGUGAACCCCUUUUGCGUGGAGGAAUUGGAAUAGAAGAUUGGGGUGGUUGCGAAACAGACAAACAAUCUAGGAAGAAGCUAGAUUUUAACAUUGGAGGAGUGAGUAUGGAUAAACCAAUAAAUGAGAAACCAAAAGGAAGAAUGAUAAGAAGUGAUGAGGUAAGGACUGUAAAAUUAGGCGCCAAAGGAGAAAAAAGAUGAACAGAAGGUGCAAGAAGUGUGGGGUUGCAGAUGGUCAUAAUAGCAGAACCUGCCUUUCAGUUGAAGAAAAUAGAGUUCGUUUGGUAAGCCUUGCUAACCCAAGAAAAAAGGGCGUCCACCAGGGUCGAGGAACAUUAAUACAUCGAGAGAUCCCGAAUGGAAUGAAACAACUACUUCAAAGAAGGAUGCGAUGAGUGUAGAUACGACUGAUGAGUCUUAUAGUGAAAUUUAAUUGUACUUGAGUUGGAGGGCUUGUUGAUUACUGUUAAAAAUUUAUGAGAUGGAUAUAAAAUGGAUAAUAAUGUGGUUCAA